rnacentral:rRNA from 1 species
UACGUAGGGGGCUAGCGUUGUUCGGAUUUACUGGGCGUAAAGGGCGCGUAGGCGGCGUGACAAGUCACUUGUGAAAUCUCUGGGCUUAACCCAGAACGGCCAAGUGAAACUGUUGUGCUAGAGUGCAGAAGGGGCAAUCGGAAUUCUCGGUGUAGCGGUGAAAUGCGUAGAUAUCGAGAGGAACACCAGAGGUGAAGACGGGUUGCUGGGCUGACACUGACGCUGAGGCGCGAAAGCCAGGGGAGCAAACGGG